GCAUAUCAAUAAGCGGAGGAAAAGAAACCAACAGGGAUUGCCCCAGUAACGGCGAGUGAAGCGGCAACAGCUCAAAUUUGAAAUCUGGCCCCCCCCGGGGGGCCCGAGUUGUAAUUUGCAGAGGAUGCUUUGGGCGAGGCGCCUUCCGAGUUCCCUGGAACGGGACGCCACAGAGGGUGAGAGCCCCGUCUGGUCGGACGCCGAGCCUCUGUAAAGCUCCUUCGACGAGUCGAGUAGUUUGGGAAUGCUGCUCAAAAUGGGAGGUAUAUGUCUUCUAAAGCUAAAUACCGGCCAGAGACCGAUAGCGCACAAGUAGAGUGAUCGAAAGAUGAAAAGCACCUUGAAAAGGGGGUUAAACAGUACGUGAAAUUGUUGAAAGGGAAGCGCUCGUGACCAGACUUGGGGCGGGCGGAUCAGCCGGCGUUCUCGCCGGCGCACUUCGCCCGUCCCAGGCCAGCAUCAGUUCGCGCCGGGGGACAAAGGCGGCGGGAACGUGGCUCCCCAGGGAGUGUUAUAGCCCGCCGCGCCAUGCCCCGGGGGCGGACUGAGGGCCGCGCAUCACUGCAAGGAUGCCGGCGUAAUGGUCACCAGCGACCCGUCUUGAAACACGGACC
rnacentral:rRNA from 1 species